UUUCAAUGGCGGCAAGGAUUACGCUCCUUCUCGUACUUCAUUCAAGGGCUCCUUCGCGUACUUUAUUCAAGGGCUCCUUCAGAGAGCGGCAAGAGUCAACCGAGAAUCAAUGGGAGAGACCGAUUUGUGAAGGAAGGGGCAGCCAUCCUGCAGGACUCGAGAAGGGUUGUGCUGUGAGUUCCAAUGCGUGCCAUGGUCUCAGUUAUUUCAGAUUACAGUAGUGGUAAUAUAUGCCUAGGGAGGUGGAGGGUUCGAAACCUCAUGGGCGAAGAAUGAGGAUUCGAAAUGAGCAAAGAAGAUAACAGCAGUACAAAUGAAGGGGGAUCGAACAAGAACACUAAUAAGGCCAAGUCUUGCAAGGGUUGCUUGUAUUUAUUCCUCGUAGUUGAAGAUCAAAACCGCAACCCUCUCUGCGUUGGAUUCAACAGGGCUUUACAACAAGUACCAAACUAUGUUGAAUUAGGGUCUGAUAUAGAGGUUUCAAAUGAGGGACGAAGCUUGGAAGAUUUUAAGUAUGCUUGUGUUGGCUAUUCAGCUUAUGCAAACAAGAAAGAUACACCAGCUUAUCAACACGGACAGG